AGGCGGGCGCAGCUACCAUGCAGUCGAGCGGUAACAGGGGUAGCUUGCUACCCGCUGACGAGCGGCGGACGGGUGAGUAAUGCAUAGGAAUCUGCCCGAUAGUGGGGGAUAACCUGGGGAAACCCAGGCUAAUACCGCAUACGUCCUACGGGAGAAAGGGGGCUCCGGCUCCCGCUAUUGGAUGAGCCUAUGUCGGAUUAGCUAGUUGGUAAGGUAAUGGCUUACCAAGGCAACGAUCCGUAGCUGGUCUGAGAGGAUGAUCAGCCACAUCGGGACUGAGACACGGCCCGAACUCCUACGGGAGGCAGCAGUGGGGAAUAUUGGACAAUGGGGGCAACCCUGAUCCAGCCAUGCCGCGUGUGUGAAGAAGGCCCUCGGGUUGUAAAGCACUUUCAGCGAGGAAGAACGCCUAUCGGUUAAUACCCGGUAGGAAAGACAUCACUCGCAGAAGAAGCACCGGCUAACUCCGUGCCAGCAGCCGCGGUAAUACGGAGGGUGCAAGCGUUAAUCGGAAUUACUGGGCGUAAAGCGCGCGUAGGUGGCUUGAUAAGCCGGUUGUGAAAGCCCCGGGCUCAACCUGGGAACGGCAUCCGGAACUGUCAGGCUAGAGUGCAGGAGAGGAAGGUAGAAUUCCCGGUGUAGCGGUGAAAUGCGUAGAGAUCGGGAGGAAUACCAGUGGCGAAGGCGGCCUUCUGGACUGACACUGACACUGAGGUGCGAAAGCGUGGGUAGCAAACAGGAUUAGAUAUCC
rnacentral:rRNA from 1 species